UACGAAGGGGGCUAGCGUUGCUCGGAAUUACUGGGCGUAAAGCGCACGUAGGCGGAUUGUUAAGUCGGGGGUGAAAUCCUGGAGCUCAACUCCAGAACUGCCUUUGAUACUGAGAGGCUUGAGUCCGGGAGAGGUGAGUGGAACUGCGAGUGUAGAGGUGAAAUUCGUAGAUAUUCGCAAGAACACCAGUGGCGAAGGCGGCUCACUGGCCCGGUACUGACGCUGAGGUGCGAAAGCGUGGGGAGCAAACAGG
rnacentral:rRNA from 1 species